UUGAGCAAUGAUUUAUCAAAAUUUAGUUUUUAACAACUGUUAAUGGUUUAUAAAUAAGUAUUUAAAAUAGAUUAUUAUGUGCUUUUGGAGAAGUAUGUGUAUUGGAAAGUUAAAAUGCCGGUUUUAGGGACUUCUGAUUUUGUCCCAAAAACUUCCGAGAAAAGGACCGUGGUUUGAAGUCCUCCGGGUAGAAGUGGGCGAUAACUUCUUCAACUGAAGUAUGUUUCAUCUCUACCAUUUUUAAAAAUGCGCGGAAUCCAACCUUUGCUGCAAUCACAUCUUCAUCUUGUGCAGUCUCUUCUGUACACAUUAUGUCCUUUCUUCGGGUCUGCACAUGGAGUGGCCACAACAUUGUAUGUAAUAAGGGUUUUAAGACUGUGUGAAUUGAUCAGAGACUGUAAUUGAUUUACUGUGCUGCUAAAUAAUAAAGAACUUUCUUUCUCUUUAACGUACAUACUUACUUACAGGGUAAACCUCAAGGUUAGAGCUUACAAAAGAAAAGAAUAAAGGCCACGUUUAUCUCAAACAUUUAAUAAACUAAUGGUUUUCUAGUUUUCUCAAACGGCUCUUCAGUUUGCCUGAUACCGAAUUAUCAUGUUGUUGUCUGACGUUGGA